rnacentral:rRNA from 1 species
UACGUAGGGUGCGAGCGUUGUCCGGAAUUAUUGGGCGUAAAGGGCUCGUAGGCGGUCUGUCGCGUCGAAAGUGAAAACCCAGGGCUUAACCCUGGGCCUGCUUCCGAUACGGGCAGACUAGAGGUAUGCAGGGGAGAACGGAAUUCCUGGUGUAGCGGUGAAAUGCGCAGAUAUCAGGAGGAACACCGGUGGCGAAGGCGGAUCUCUGGGCCAUUACUGACGCUGAGGAGCGAAAGCGUGGGGAGCGAACAGG